CCUACGGGGGGCAGCAGUGGGGAAUAUUGGACAAUGGGCGAAAGCCUGAUCCAGCCAUGCCGCGUGUGUGAAGAAGGCCUUCGGGUUGUAAAGCACUUUCAGUGGGGAAGAAAGCCUUGGGGCUAAUACCCUCGAGGAAGGACAUCACCCACAGAAGAAGCACCGGCUAACUCCGUGCAAGCAGCCGCGGUAAUACGGAGGGUGCGAGCGUUAAUCGGAAUUACUGGGCGUAAAGCGCGCGUAGGCGGUCUGAUAAGCCGGUUGUGAAAGCCCCGGGCUCAACCUGGGAACGGCAUCCGGAACUGUCAGGCUAGAGUGCAGGAGAGGAAGGUAGAAUUCCCGGUGUAGCGGUGAAAUGCGUAGAGAUCGGGAGGAAUACCAGUGGCGAAGGCGGCCUUCUGGACUGACACUGACGCUGAGGUGCGAAAGCGUGGGUAGCAAACAGGAUUAGAUACCCUAGUAGUC
rnacentral:rRNA from 1 species